CUACGGGUCGCAGCAGUGAGGAAUAUUGCACAAUGGGGGGAACCCUGAUGCAGCAACGCCGCGUGGAGGAUGACGCAUUUCGGUGUGUAAACUCCUUUUAUAUGUCAAGAAAAUGACGGUAGCAUAUGAAUAAGCACCGGCUAACUCCGUGCCAGUAGCCGCGGUAAUACGGAGGGUGCAAGCGUUACUCGGAAUCACUGGGCGUAAAGGACGCGUAGGCGGGUUGGAAAGUCAGGUGUGAAAUCCUACAGCUUAACUGCAGAACUGCACUUGAAACUUCUAAUCUAGAGUAUGGGAGGGGGAGAUGGAAUUAGUGGUGUAGGGGUAAAAUCCGUAGAUAUCACUAGGAAUACCUAAAGCGAAGGCGAUCUCCUGGAACAUUACUGACGCUAAGGCGUGAAAGCGUGGGGAGCAAACAGGAUUAGAUACCCCCGUAGUC
rnacentral:rRNA from 1 species